AAAGAAAGAAAGAAAGAAAGAAAGAAAGAGAGAGAAAGAAAGAAAGAAAAAGAAAGAAAAAGUUCAAAGGCUACAAGGAGUUGAUGGAUACCCUGGGAUUGGCUAGCCAUUUUUACUCUUCAGAUGUCCUGGUCUCUGCUUCCUGCUGCAGCCCUGCAUCAGUAAUACGUUGGUCCUUUUAUACUGACAUCUCUAUGCUGUUUGUUGUCACAACAUUCAGUGGUUACCUGUGGAACUGGAUUGGGCACUACAAGGCUGGUUUGAGUCUACACUGCAAAAGAAAAGACUAAAUGAGAUUUUCGAAAUCAUCACCUCUCCAGCAUGGAAUCACCUUCUGUAUAUCAAUGAAGCAAAGUCCCUCGGAGUCUUCCAAAAAAUUAGAUGAUACAAUGUGGGUUUCCAAACCACGUUAUAUAUUGUAGAUACUGUAUGUUCCAUGGCUCUGGAUUUUAGUUUCCACUUUGUUUGCCCUACGUAUUGAAUGCUGCAGAGACAUUGUAGCAGGUAUAUUAUACCCUCUGUUCCUUUAUUUUUGAUUCCUUAUUUGUUUAAUUUGGAAUGAAAUGAUUUUGUAGGUUGUGUUUCUGCAUAUUGAUUUCUGCAGGCUUUGCAUU